UACGGAAGGCAGCAGUGGGGAAUAUUGCACAAUGGGCGCAAGCCUGAUGCAGCCAUGCCGCGUGUAUGAAGAAGGCCUUCGGGUUGUAAAGUACUUUCAGUCGUGAGGAAGGUGUUAAGGUUAAUAACCUUAGCAAUUGACGUUAGCGACAGAAGAAGCACCGGCUAACUCCGUGCCAGCAGCCGCGGUAAUACGGAGGGUGCGAGCGUUAAUCGGAAUUACUGGGCGUAAAGGGCACGCAGGCGGUUAAUUAAGUUGGAUGUGAAAUCCCCGGGCUUAACCUGGGAAUGGCAUUCAAGACUGGUUAGCUAGAGUCUUGUAGAGGGGGUUAGAAUUCCAUGUGUAGCGGUGAAAUGCGUAGAGAUGUGGAGGAAUACCGGUGGCGAAGGCGGCCCCUGGACAAAGGACUGACGCUCAUGUGCGAAAGCGUGGGGAGC
rnacentral:rRNA from 1 species